rnacentral:rRNA from 1 species
AUUGAACGCUGGCGGCAUGCCUUACACAUGCAAGUCGAACGGCAGCACGGACUUCGGUCUGGUGGCGAGUGGCGAACGGGUGAGUAAUGUAUCGGAACGUACCUUUCAGUGGGGGAUAACGUAGCGAAAGUUACGCUAAUACCGCAUAUUCUGUGAGCAGGAAAGCAGGGGAUCGCAAGACCUUGCGCUGAUUGAGCGGCCGAUAUCAGAUUAGCUAGUUGGUGGGGUAAAGGCCGUACCAAGGCUACGAUCUGUAGCGGGUCUGAGAGGAUGAUCCGCCACACUGGAACUGAGACACGGUCCAGACUCCUACGGGAGGCAGCAGUGGGGAAUUUUGGACAAUGGGGGCAACCCUGAUUCAGCCAUGCCGCGUGAGUGAAGAAGGCCUCGGUUGUAAG